rnacentral:rRNA from 1 species
CACAUGCAAGUCGAGCGGAUGAAGGGAGCUUGCUCUCUGAUUCAGCGGCGGACGGGUGAGUAAUGCCUAGGAAUCUGCCUGGUAGUGGGGGACAACGUUUCGAAAGGAACGCUAAUACCGCAUACGUCCUACGGGAGAAAGCAGGGGACCUUCGGGCCUUGCGCUAUCAGAUGAGCCUAGGUCGGAUUAGCUAGUUGGUGAGGUAAUGGCUCACCAAGGCGACGAUCCGUAACUGGUCUGAGAGGAUGAUCAGUCACACUGGAACUGAGACACGGUCCAGACUCCUACGGGAGGCAGCAGUGGGGAAUAUUGGACAAUGGGCGAAAGCCUGAUCCAGCCAUGCCGCGUGUGUGAAGAAGGUCUUCGGAUUGUAAAGCACUUUAAGUUGGGAGGAAGGGCAGUAAGUUAAUACCUUGCUGUUUUGACGUUACCGACAGAAUAAGCACCGGCUAACUUCGUGCCAGCAGCCGCGGUAAUACGAAGGGUGCAAGCGUUAAUCGGAAUUACUGGGCGUAAAGCGCGCGUAGGUGGUUUGUUAAGUUGGAUGUGAAAGCCCCGGGCUCAACCUGGGAACUGCAUCCAAAACUGGCAAGCUAGAGUAUGGCAGAGGGUGGUGGAAUUUCCUGUGUAGCGGUGAAAUGCGUAGAUAUAGGAAGGAACACCAGUGGCGAAGGCGACCACCUGGGCUAAUACUGACACUGAGGUGCGAAAGCGUGGGGAGCAAACAGGAUUAGAUACCCUGGUAGUCCACGCCGUAAACGAUGUCGACUAGCCGUUGGGAUCCUUGAGAUCUUAGUGGCGCAGCUAACGCAUUAAGUCGACCGCCUGGGGAGUACGGCCGCAAGGUUAAAACUCAAAUGAAUUGACGGGGGCCCGCACAAGCGGUGGAGCAUGUGGUUUAAUUCGA